UUGCAUGUGGAAACACCUUCUCCUCAUUCUUUUUGAGGAAUGAAUGAAUCCAGAACAUGCUACACUAAAAAAGGAGUUCUCAGGGCUGCCUUACUGAGAGGUUGGGUAGUAGUAUAUUUCUUCUACACAA